GGUUCGAUGGUGUAGUUGGUUAUCACGUCUGUCUCACAUUGGGUACACAGGAGGUCUCCGGUUCGAGCCCGGAUCGAACCA
rnacentral:tRNA from 1 species